rnacentral:rRNA from 1 species
UAAGUCUGAACCAGCCAAGUAGCGUGCAGGAUUGACGGCCCUAUGGGUUGUAAACUGCUUUUGUUGGGGAGUAAAGUGAGGCACGCGUGCCUUUUUGCAUUUACCCUUCGAAUAAGGACCGGCUAAUUCCGUGCCAGCAGCCGCGGUAAUACGGAAGGUCCAGGCGUUAUCCGGAUUUAUUGGGUUUAAAGGGAGUGUAGGCGGUCUGUUAAGCGUGUUGUGAAAUUUAGGUGCUCAACAUCUAACUUGCAGCGCGAACUGGCGGACUUGGGUGCACGCAACGUAUGCGGAAUUCAUGGUGUAGCGGUGAAAUGCUUAGAUAUCAUGACGAACUCCGAUUGCGAAGGCAGCGUACGGGAGUGUUACUGACGCUUAAGCUCGAAGGUGCGGGUAUCGAACAGGAUUAGAUACCCUGGUAGUCCGCACGGUAAACGAUGGAUGCCCGCUGUUAGCGCCUGGCGUUAGCGGCUAAGCGAAAGCAUUAAGCAUCCCACCUGGGGAGUACGCCGGCAACGGUGAAACUCAAAGGAAUUGACGGGGGCCCGCACAAGCGGAGGAACAUGUGGUUUAAUUCGAUGAUACGCGAGGAACCU